CGCAUAGCUCAGUUGGUAGAGCAACUGACUUUUAAUCAGUAGGUCCCAGGUUCGAGCCCUGGUG
rnacentral:tRNA from 1 species